ensembl:lncRNA
GGAGGGUGGAUCUGGAAGGAAGGGGGAGGGGGAGAGGGGAGGAGGAGGGGGAGAGAGGUAGAGGGGGCAGGGAGGGAGGGAGGGGAGUCCUGGCGUUUAGGGUCCCAAAGGUCUCGGCUCACUCCCGGCAGGGACGCGAGGCGAUCUGCAGGGGUCUCGGGGGGUCCCGGGACGGACUCAGCUCCAGGACACUCGGUCAGAGCGAGGUGGGCGGGAGGACGCGGGGUGGACGGGAGGAAAGCGGUCAGGGGUCAGGACCGACUGAGGGGCGGGAGAGGUCGGGACCGGGGGUCAGCGCCUGAGGUAAAACGUGAGCCGUCGGGAAGUACAGGUCCGGAUGAGGGUCCCGGUGCGCACUGCGGGCGGCCGAGGGUGGGUGAGGAGGCGGGCCACGGCUCUGGUGCGACGGCCCUGCUCACCUUCGGCGGACCGGCGCUCCGGUCGACUCCGCUGCCCGCCGAGGCCGCCCGAGGCAGGAAGCGGCUCCCGCGCACGACGCCCCGCCCCUUUCCGUCACCAGGCCCGCCCCCGGAACGUGCCUCUCGCCCUCACUGGCUGGCUCAGAGCGGAAGGGGCGGUGCUUCCGCCGAGUCUCUGCCGGACGGAGCCCCGCGAGGAGGAAGCUGCGAGGCUGGGGGAGCAGAGCGCCGAGCCGAGACCCUCGACCUGGGGCUCCGGGGCCUCCGCGGCGCUCGUCUCCUCGGCUCCGUGUUGGGGGUGAAGCCGGUACACAGGCCCCUGGCUGCCGUCCACCGUGUCGCUGCAGUGCGGGGACGGUGCCGAGCGAGUGGCUGCAUGCCGUGGACUGUCCGGCCCCGGACCGGGGCAGAAGCGAGGCUCGGCGCACACAGGUGCCGCAGGCCGGGAGUGCUGAGCCCCGACUGCAGCCCAGUCCACGCACGGGUCGCCUCGCAAGGCCGGCAGCAGGCCGCCCGGCGCCAGGCUGGACGAGGCUGGCCCCUGCGCGGUCUUUGUUCCCAGCGCAGCGGCACCCUGGAUGUGGAGCAGAGGAGCGGCCGGCGCAGAGUUCGGCCCGGCUGCUGCAGGCAGGGCGGCGGCGGAGCCGUCUGAGGCUGCUGGUUCAGGUGUGGACAGGAGAAAUGAAGGGAGGUGUGACGGGGCUCGGGAAGCCGGGAGGGGAGGUGAUUGGAGGGCGACACACUUGGAAAGGACGGGCAAGUCUGGAAGGCUGGUAACUGGACUUCAACACUUGCGUUUGAGGCUCUUCACCAACCUGAGGCCCACGGAGUUUUUUUUUUAGAUUUAUUUAUUUUUUUGAAAAUCAGAGUGACACAGAGAUAGAGAGAGAGAGGUCUUCCAUCUGCAGAUCUCCCACGUGGGUGCAGGGGCCCAAGCACUUGGGUCACCCUCUGCUGCUCUCCCAGGCCGUAGCAGAGAGCUGGAUCAGAACUGAAACAGCCGGGACUUGAACCGGCGCCCAUAUGCGGUGCCGGCACUGCAGGCGGCGGCUUUACCUGUUAUGCCACAGCACCGGCUCCUCUUUCUUUCUUAAGAUUUAUUUUGUUUGUUUGAAAGAGACACGCACACAGACGGAGAGAGAGAAUGUCCGUCUGUGGUUCCCUCUCCGAGUGGCCGCAAGCCGGAAGCCAGGAGCUUCGUCAGGGUCUCCCACGUGGGUAGCUGGGGCUGAAGGACUUGGGCCGUCCUCUGCUGCUUUUCCCAGGCCAUAGCAGGAAGCUGGAUCGGGAGAGUGAAGAGGCUGACAAGGUCGCCGCAGGAGGUCUGUCUCCACAGGGCGCAGGCGUGGUUGUAGAUUUCCUGGGGAUCCCUGUAUUCUUGGAAAUCUGUGAGAAACGACCUCUGCUCAAGAUGACCUCACUGACGGUCGAGCUGUGGGAUGGACUCGGUCCUCCUAGAGUGAUUCAACCCCUCUGAUGCUUGUUAUCUGCAACAAAGGCCUGGAGGGAAGUGCAGACGUAGGGUAUAUGGUCUGCAGUCAGACCUGAUGCAGGGACGAGAGGGUCCUGGGGAAGCUCUCAGGUCCUGCUGUAACCCACUUGAGGGUGUCUUAUCAUAGACUGACGACUUGUAAAUGAGAGGUAGCAACUCCAGUGGCUGAGAGAAGUACAAACAGUGGUAAAUACCUUAGUCUGUGUGGCCUGGUGGAAAGAACAUAAAGCAAUUAUGGAAAUCAGUGAGCGAGUCUUAAAUGAGCUACUAAAACUAAAUCGUGGUGAAGCGUUGUGGAAAGGACGUGCGUAAUGCAUGGGUUUGUUUGAGCAGGGUGUUGGUUACCAGUAGACUUAAACUCAGAGGUAAAUGUUCCAGUGUUAUAAGUAGAUGUUCGGAUUCUCUGCAAAAUAACCACUAUGUUUUGUAAUUGAUUAUUGUGUAAUUUAGCAUCACUUGAGUCUCUGUUCUAUUGUAUCUCAAAUAUCAAGUAAAUCUUUAAAAUCAAAGUGUUACAUGGCCAUGGAUUAGGGAGGGGUUGCGCGUAAUUCAAGGCCAGUGGUUUAAAGUGAUGGGAAACAGACUUUGUUAUUGUAAGGAAGAAUCAUUAACUCUGUAAGGAUCACUAAUGAGUGGACAUUUGCAGAAUUUAUGAGAACAGUAAAGAAUGUGUAAAGUGAACAGCGAAUGUAACUCAGGGUGUAAGAUAAAGUCAUCAGAGCUGGCCGGCGCCGCGGCUCACUAGGCUAAUCCUCUGCCUUGCGGCGCCGGCACCCUGGGUUCUAGUACCGGUCGGGGCGCCGGAUUCUGUCCCGGUUGCCCCUCUUCCAGGCCAGCUCUCUGCUAUGGCCAGGGAGUGCAGUGGAGGAUGGCCCAAGUGCUUGGGCCCUGCACCCACAUGGGAGACCAGGAGAAGCACCUGGCUCCUGCCAUCGGAUCAACGCGGUGCACCGGCCGCAGCAUGCCGGCCGUGGCGGCCAUUGGAGGGUGAACCAACGGCAAAAGGAAGACCUUUCUCUCUGUCUCUCUCUCUCACUGUCCACUCUGCCUGUCAAAAAUAAAUAAUAAAUAAAUAAAGUCA